GACGAACGCUGGCGGCGUGCUUAACACAUGCAAGUCGGACGGUAAGGCCCUUUCGGGGGUACACGAGUGGCGAACGGGUGAGUAACACGUGGGUGAUCUGCCCCAUGCUCUGGGAUAAGCCUGGGAAACCGGGUCUAAUACCGGAUAGGACCGCAUGCUGCAUGGUGUGUGGUGGAAAGCGCCCUUUCUUGGGGUGUGGUGUGGGAUGGGCCCGCGGCCUAUCAGCUUGUUGGUGGGGUAAUGGCCUACCAAGGCGACGACGGGUAGCCGGCCUGAGAGGGUGAUCGGCCACACUGGGACUGAGACACGGCCCAGACUCCUACGGGAGGCAGCAGUGGGGAAUAUUGCACAAUGGGCGGAAGCCUGAUGCAGCGACGCCGCGUGAGGGAUGACGGCCUUCGGGUUGUAAACCUCUUUCGCCUACGACGAAGCCUUCGGGUGACGGUAGUGGGAGAAGAAGCACCGGCCAACUACGUGCCAGCCGCCGCCGUAAGAC
rnacentral:rRNA from 1 species